CCGCUUCCUGUCGGGUCAGCAGCGGCAUUAGCGUCUCAUAGGAGCAUGAACCCUACUGUGAACUGCGCAUGCGAGGGAUCUAGGCUGCGCGCUCCUUAUGAGAAUCUAACGCCUGAUGACCUAUCACUGUCUCCCAUCACUCCCAGAUGGGACCGUCUAGUUGCAGGAAAACAAGCUCAGGGCUCCCACUGAUUCUACAUUAUGGAAAUUUCAUGAUCCGACUGGAAUCCAGGAAAAUCACAGCUGAAAUACAAAACAUCAGCCCUUAUCUCCAGCACUGUACAUGGCAGAAACUGCUUUUAUUCUAGAUGUCUAGAUCCAGAUCAACUGCAUGGGGUCCUACAGGAGAAGACCAAGAGACAGAGACAGAGACCAGGGAAAAUGACCGAUACCAUUCCUUCUCAGGGAUGCUACACACCCAUGGGGCAGAGGAUAAGAGGUUCCUGAAGGCAUCACCCCUCUGGCCAUGGCUGGUGUGCAGACAAAGCUGGAGAUUUGGAGUAGCCUGUUGUCCCACUGACUCUUAGACUGCCCCAGCUAAGAAGAACCAACUCCUCCUAUUACAGAUGAAAUAAACAAAGCUACUCAAGCUCUCUGGCAUCGCCCUGACGGUCAUCAUGUGCUUCACAUUUCCCUCCUGCCCCCCCUGAUUUUCUGGAAAAGGGAGAAAGUGUGUGAAAAAAAAUGGACAAUAACUUCUGUUAACUUUGUAGAUGUCUGGUUCCUCCAUAUGAGGCUGUGCUUGAAUCAAUUUUGGAGAGAGGGUUUCUAAAGUCUCUCUAGAUUCUAUUAAUUUUGAUAGAGACAAUAAAAGGCAGCAGGACCAACUCUGUGUGGUGGGAGAUCUAGCAACCAUUAUAGUCACAAUAGCCACCACUUACUGAACACCCACCAUGUGACAAAGAACAAAUGUGCAUGAAUUAUGUCACAUUUUUCACAAGCACCCCUUGAGUUGGGAGUUCACUCAUGAGGCAACUGAGGUUCAGGGAGAUGAAGUAACUCACCCUGUAGGUAGGAGGGCUGAGAUCUGGACGUAGAUCUUUCCUCCAAAGCUUUGUCUUUUUUUUUCUACUAUAGCACACCAAAGAGAGUUCUAGAAAAAAUGAGAAUAAGAAAUUUACCUGUAAUCCUUGCUCAAGAAACUGAAGCUCUGAGGCCACAUUGUUCCAGCCUUUUGCAGCUCCUGCAUGUGGAUACCAGCACCAGCAGCUCCCCGACCAGGGGCCCCAGCUAAGCCCUCCCAGAGGAUGAUCUUGGCUUUGUACAUGGGGUGUCAAUAUCCUGUGAGUCCAACAGAGGGAAGACAUAAGAAUAUGGUCACCCAGGUCAAGCAAAGGGAUAUAGACCGUAUGGAAAUACAGCACCUCAGGGGUGCCUGGUGUAAUAAGAAACAACUUUAAAAAAAAAGGAGGGGAUGUGGCCCUAAAAGUUAUCAACUGUCAAUCAGACUUGACCAUGAAAAAUUGGCCAAAGAAAGAUUUGGGCCCACAGGUUUUGUACAGAGGAAAUCCAGGCUCCUAACGAUGGCGAAAGAUGGGAAUAAAAGGAUCAGAACACUGAGCUGGAUCUUCAGUUCAUUUCAGGUAUGGAGAAGGGUAAAUGGUCUUUAAAGAAGGCCGACCUCAAUGAAGGUGUCUUCCAAGGCCUUGUCCACUCAAGGACAUGUUGCAUGCCUGAAACUGAGUAUACAGGAAAAGGAUAGAAAUGGAAUAAAAUGGAAACCCAUAAAUCACACUACCCUGCUAUGCAGUUUCAAACCACUGACUUAAUGAAAUGUUGAUCCACUUUGCCAUGGAUGCCCCACUUUUUAACUCCUUCUUCAGAGUCCCAGGAGGUGAGGCUCUUCUGUUUAACUGAUUUGCAGAAUUUUUGCUUCUGCUAUUACAAUGGCUUCCAUAGUUGAGUACCAAAGACACUUUACUAUGGUGCCACAGAGAUCAUUUUGCAGAUGAGGAAACAGACUGUUCUACUACCCAGGCUUUGGUUUUUUCUACUCAGUCUUGCACAAUCUCUCACUCUCAGCCCAGAACAUUGCUGCAUUUUUGUGAGCCAUCAGCAUCCAAAGUGAACACAGGGUCUAAAUAACUGAAGAUGGCAUGAGGGAACACACAAUCAGGUCUUUAAAAAAAGAAGAAAGUGAAUAGGCAAACUGAACAGGACAUCUAGGACUGAAAAGCCUCUGUGAACAACUGGACUCAAUAUGAAAUUGGCGUGAGCUCACAGAAGACCAGCUGAGUUCCAGAUGUGGUUGGGUAGCUUGGGUUAUGGGCCCGUAUAAAAAAAAUGGUCUCUUCUUGUAAAAGGAAUUCAAAAAAAGACUAAAAGUCACCCCAAAGAGUCACUGUCUUUGUCUUUUGGCCAUUAGUAAGUCAGAAGAGACCUCUAGAGGAGACUGGAUUUUGUGGCUGAUUAUCGAUUAAUUGAUCAUCACUGGGUAUCUUUGGGAGUGUUGCCUUCUCAGGGAGAAGCUGAAAAUCAUUCUGUGAAAGGUAUGUCCACUGACAAUCAUUUAAGCUCUUUGGAGGCAAGAAAUCAGGUAUCUGGGAGAACUCAGAGAUAACAUAGGAGCGACAGGCUGAAACCAUGAGCGAGAUGGGCAGAUGGCUUGAGAAUGACGAUGGGCAGAGGAGAGCAGUGGCAGGGAGAACCCACAGGCCUCUACUUGGAGUCAGCCUGUCAGCAGGAUAAGCUACAAGAUCACCCUCGAGGGAAACUGCAGGCCAGGUCAGGGGCACUGCAAGCUGCAGGUGUGCCCAGGCAGGAGGGCAGGUGGCCUGUGAUGAGGGGCCAUGACUGUGUGGUGGGCUCUCCCACACCAGGAGCAACUAGACACUAGACUGAAAGUUCUUUUAAGUGAGGGAGCCAUCUUCUGUCCAGGGAAAAGUGGUUCGGGAUACAGGAGGAGCCCUGCACCACAGAAUCGGUCUAGUCUCAGGCUGUCUGUUCCACAGGAGCCUCCAGCCCAGUGAUGUAGGCAGCUAUUCACAACCACAUCAUGGCACAAAGUGAGGCCUCCCAAUCCACAGCCAUCCCUGAUUACAGACACUUCACUGGAUGUCUGAACAUAGCUGUGUGUGCCUGGAAAGCCUAGAAAUAGAAACGCUCCUUUUUUCCCCAAGACGAUCAUCUCUACAUCCUGACCUGGAUCAACAGUGAUCCAUUCUGGACAAUCCUGGACACUCCUGCUCCUGGAGAGAAGGGAUAGAUAACUUUUCCACCUGCCUGCCUGUCCUGUCCACCUCGAGGUGGUCUUGUGGCAUCUUGGGCCUCACAUGUCCCAUAGUCUCUUCUCAUCCCUCCAAUUUGCUCCUUCUCCAGACUUCUCUCUCUUGGUUGAGUGGUUCCACCAUUUUCCCAAGUUGCUUGGACCCAACACUUGAGUUACAGCCAACUCCUCUCUUUCUCUCACAACCCAAAUCUAAUUCAUCAGUAAGUCCUGGUGGCUCCACAUUCGGAAUGUUCCUGGGAUGCCACCACUUUUUGUCAUCUCUGUUACUGCUAGCCUGCCCCUUGCUACUGUCAGCUCCAGCCUGGAGGACUGAAAUAACCUCCUCACUGUCUCCAGCUGUUCUUCCCGCCCAUGGUCUAUUCCCCAGACACCACCAGAGGGAUGCUUUGAAGUCCAGAUGGCAUCAUGUCAUUUAGAAUGAAACCUGAGGUCCCAAGUGUGGCCCGAGGGAUGGUCAGGUUGCCCCCAGGGCUCCAUUUCCUGCCACUCUUCCUCUCUCUCACUCUGCUGGAGCCACAUGGUUACUAUUCCUGAACACAGGAGGCUCCCUCCUGCUUCAGGUCUCGUGCAGAUUUGUUCCCACAGCCUGGGGACAGAUUUUAUCCCAGAAGUUCCCAGGGCUUGAUUCCUCCCUUUAUUUAGUUCUCAGCUGAAAUGUCCCCUCUUCUGAGCAGCCUUCUCUCACCACCCGAUGGAAGCAGCCGUCCCUGCACGCUCUAUCACUUCACUCGGCUCUAUUUUUCUUCCUAACACGUUCACAACUUGACAUUCUUUUAUAAUUUUUCACUUAUUUAUUGAGUGCUGUCUCUUCCACUAGAACCCCUGAAAGCAGGGAUUUUUAUAAUCUUUUGGCCACCACUAGAUUCAUAAGGAUGCACAGAGCCUGGUAGGCUGCAGGCUGUCCAUAACUGCUUGUUGAAUGAAUCGAUGGAUGAAUGAUCAGCAGAAGCUCGUUUCUCUCCAUGAAAUACAACGGGUUCCAAAGAAAUCGAAGCCUUUUUGAAAGGCCUAGCCAUACUUCACCCAUACAGCUGCAGUGGCAGAUCCAUGCUCAUGACCUCAUUUCUCUCC
rnacentral:lncRNA from 10 species